CCUGGGAACGCCUCGGGAUCCCCCGGGAAGAGCUGGACAAAGUGGCUUGGGGAGAGGAAAGUCUGGGCUUCCCUGCUUAGGCUGCUGCCCCCGCGACCCGACCUCGGAUAAGCGGAAGAAGAUGGAUGGAUGGAGUUCAGAAAAUGAGUCAACUUGGAGGCGCUCCAGAGAAAACUUGGUAACACACAACGAAGACCACAAAUGAGGAUUCACACCUUUUUGAACCUGAAUGUACAGAGGAUGAACUACUGGUGGGGAGGGUCAAACGUUGGAGCAGACGGAAGCCGACAGAGUGAGGUCAGCAGGACUUGGCACUGCAAAUGUGGAACUUGGAACCGAGCUAUGCAGACAUAAAUGGCCUUACUCAAAAUA